AAGUUUUUGGUUAUAUUUUAGGAAUUAUUUUUCCAAAACUUUAGGGUAUUUUUUUGUGUACAAAAUUCUUCAUUGUUCUAUAAAACUUAAAUGAUUGGCUGACAAAAAAAAAACUAAAAUGAUUGCACAAGACCCACAAAGUAAUUAACUAGUCGGAUAAUACUAAAAUUAAUACUCCCUUAUUUCAAAAUAAGUGAUAUGAGGUUUUUCAUACCGGAUUAAAGAAUUAAUAACCUUUUCAUUUUAGUUAUUUUUGCAUAAAAAUAAAAUUAGUUAUAGAUAACUCAAUCAAUUAAAAAUUAUGGUGUAUAAUACAAAAGUACACAAACAACACUAAAUUUUAUAUAAAAUUUUGAAAAGAUCAUCUAAUCUAAAACAGAGUGAAUAUAUGAAACCAUGACCAGCUUAUAAAUUGUCACUAAUUAGUUAUUUGAGUUGAAAUAUAUUGUGAAUUCAGAUGAAUCUAACUAAUACUAAAAAGGAUACAUGAGGAGUAGUCAGAUUGUCCACGUCGGAUUGUUAAUUCGGCCAAUAGGAUUACUUUAUUUUACCACAUCAUUAGCUCUUCUUUACUCUGAAUUUAUACGACUGUCCUGUUUCGCCUCUUUUCUUUUUUUUUUACUUUAUGUUUCGCCUCUUCUACUUCUCCAUCGUCGUUGCCGAUUGAUUAAUGCAAAUCUCCGUUUCUGAUCCACUUUCAAUCAUUCAAUCAUUUCUUUACUCUAUCUUGAUGAGUGAGCAAUCUUUCCACCUCCCUUUGUUUCUCUGCUUAUAUAUUGAGAAACUCUUUUGUAGAAGAUUACAUUGAUUCUUCACAUCUCAGGAGCGCAUCUCAUGCUUCCCUAUAUUUCAACGACAACUCACCAAGCCAUUAGAUUCGGGAUUACGCUUCCGUCUGAUUCACAGGCCUCUAGCCGCUUCAUCUCUCUCCUAUUACAUGUAAUCUUAACCUUCACCGCCUUGCCAAAUCUCAGUUGUAACUGUUGUCUUCCAUCACCAUGCUUCAUCAAAGUAUCUACAUGACUGUAACAGAGGAAAACCAUUCAGGCUCUUCAGUAUCCAUCCUCUCUCACUAUAUACUAACAGAAAAGGGGAAGCAAGACAUCAGCUCUCGAUCAUUACUACGCUGGCUGGAAAGGAGUAUUAUGAUAGUUCCGAACAAAGUUAUGAAGGCAGUUAUAGAAGACUCAAGUAUGUUGGUUACGAAACAGAAAGUUUCCUCAUACUGACUUUCUUGAGAGAAGUAUCAAACGUUUUGCCGAUACCCUGGGACCCUUUGAUUCCAUGUAAUUUUUUUUUUUUGAACAACUGAUUACAUGUAAGUAAAGCUUCAGAAUUCGAUGUACCUUUAUUUCAGAUUGUAUUUUUGUGUGUGCUGAUUGUUAUAAUUCUACUAGUGGUGGUUCUUUCGACCUCCAGUUUCCUU